GUGCACGUGAUGAGGGUAUUCACAUGUGCCGUUCAUUCUGCAGAAUGUGACACCUUUCUCUCGCACGAAAUGUGACCCUUUACCCACAAUUAACACUACAUGGGAGAGGAAUUGAGGACAAGUGUACAUGCCACUGCUACUCUGCACAAAUCAGAGGUUGGCAGAUCCAUGCAUGAUGCUACAGGCCAAAAUUGAAGAGAGGUUAUUCAACAGAUGCAAGAGAACAGGUGUGCCCCAUCACAAUGUGGGCACAAAGAAAAGCAAGAUCCACUCCCAUUUGAAGAGGACCAUUUAUCUUCCAUAUCAAGCUGGCCACUUGGAGAGGCUCUACUCCGCCCAAUUCUGAUGGCAUUAAAUUUGCAUCUCAAUUCCA